rnacentral:lncRNA from 1 species
ACAUUCUCCCCCUGCUCCCGAUGGCGCUCCUGGAAGCUCUGCAACUAUGCUCCACUUCAAAUGGUAGCACACUAAGAGAUUUUCCAUGGCGGGAGCUCGGCACUCCUGGAGUGGGGUUUACUUUGUUCAGGCGUUGUGUUGGUAUUUGAGGAGACUGGCUACAACUCCACAAGGCGGUUGCUGAGGAUGGAGCCUCUGUGUAUCUCAGAAGACUGCAGUUCUUACUGCUAGGAGACUGCAUGGCUAGUUCCCUCUGAGUUAAGCUUCUAUUUUUGAAGCCCAGAUGCAAUAAGGAGGUGCCUAUGAUAGACACAGAAUACAAACCCCACACAGCUUAAAGCUGGCAGAUGUCUUCUGCAAAACGAUGCCACACCUUGACCCUGAAUGAGGAAGAAGGCAGGGAUCCAUAGGAUUAUCCGGAGUGGAAAACAUGGCUUCCACUUCUAAUUUGUUUUUUAAAAACGGAAUCAUACCUAUGAAUUUCUUAAUAAAAUAUCUUUCUUGUAAAA